UACGUAGGGGGCAAGCGUUGUCCGGAAUCAUUGGGCGUAAAGAGCGUGUAGGCGGUCCGGUAAGUCAGCUGUGAAAGUCAAGGGCUCAACCCUUGAAAGCCGGUUGAUACUGUCGGGCUAGAGUCCGGAAGAGGAGUGUGGAAUUCCUGGUGUAGCGGUGAAAUGCGCAGAUAUCAGGAGGAACACCAAUGGCGAAGGCAGCACUCUGGGACGUGACUGACGCUGAGACGCGAAAGCGUGGGGAGCAAACAGG
rnacentral:rRNA from 1 species